rnacentral:misc_RNA from 1 species
GAAAUGCGAUAAGUAAUGUGAAUUGCAGAAUUCAGUGAAUCAUCGAAUCUUUGAACGCACAUUGCGCCCGCCAGUAUUCUGGCGGGCAUGCCUGUUCGAGCGUCAUUUCAACCAUCAAGCCCCCGGGCUUGUGUUGGGGACCUGCGGCUGCCGCAGGCCCCGAAAACCAGUGGCGGGCUCGCUGUCACACCGGGCGUAGUAGAUUUUUCGUCUCGCCCAGGGCGUGCUGCGGGUUCCGGCCGUUAAAAAGCCGCUCUUUUAACCCAAGGUUGACCUCGGAUCAGGUAGGAAGACCCGCUGAACUUAAGC